GACAAAGGGUUAAGGCGUUGGACUUGAAAUCCAAUGGGGUCUCCCCGCGUAGGUUCAAAUCCUGC
rnacentral:tRNA from 1 species